ACGCUCGACACCUACGGGAGGUAGCAGUGGGGAAUAUUGCACAAUGGGGGAAACCCUGAUGCAGCGACGCCGCGUGAGCGAAGAAGUAUUUCGGUAUGUAAAGCUCUAUCAGCAGGGAAGAAAUGACGGUACCUGACUAAGAAGCCCCGGCUAACUACGUGCCGCNNCGCGAUNUGAGCGGCGUGNGAGCG
rnacentral:rRNA from 1 species